UCUCGAUUCGUCUAGUGGUUAGGAUACCUGCUUGUCAUUAAAUUCGCAGGUGGCCGGGGUUCAAUUCCCCGAUCGAGAG
rnacentral:tRNA from 1 species